rnacentral:ncRNA from 2 species
UUUUUAUAGGAAUCCGCUGGCGUCCGAAAGGACUUAAAGAGGAACUCCGUGAGAAUCGGAGGCGGUCCCGCCGCUGUCAUCCCUCUCCGCCUUCGGCGGAGAACCGCCGGGCUGAUGCCACUGGUCCCUUCAGGGGCCGGGAAGGCGCCCGGAAGGGGGGAGAGCCAGAAGACUCGCCAAACCCUCCGCGCCGAC